rnacentral:rRNA from 1 species
CCUACGGGAGGCAGCAGUGGGGAAUAUUGCACAAUGGGGGGAACCCUGAUGCAGCGACGCCGCGUGAGUGAAGAAGUAUUUCGGUAUGUAAAGCUCUGUCAGCAGGGAAGAAGAAAGACGGUACCUGACCAAGAAGCCCCGGCUAACUACGUGCCAGCAGCCGCGGUAAUACGCAGGGGGCAAGCGUUAUCCGGAUUUACUGGGUGUAAAGGGAGCGCAGACGGCUGUGCAAGUCUGGAGUGAAAGGUGGGGGCCCAACCCCCGGACUGCUUUGGAAACUGUAAAGCUGGAGUGCAGGAGAGGUAAGCGGAAUUCCUAGUGUAGCGGUGAAAUGCGUAGAUAUUAGGAAGAACACCAGUGGCGAAGGCGGCUUACUGGACUGCAACUGACGUUGAGGCUCGAAAGCGUGGGGAGCAAACAGGAUUAGAUACCCCAGUAGUC